rnacentral:rRNA from 1 species
UACAGAGGGUGCGAGCGUUAAUCGGAAUUACUGGGCGUAAAGGGCGCGUAGGCGGUUAAAUAAGUUAGAUGUGAAAUCUCCGAGCUUAACUUGGGAACUGCAUAUAAUACUGUUUAGCUAGAGUAGAAUAGAGGGGAGUGGAAUUUCCGGUGUAGCGGUGAAAUGCGUAGAUAUCGGGAGGAACAUCAGUGGCGAAGGCGGCCCUCUGGUUCAGUACUGACACUCAAGUGCGAAAGCGUGGGGAGCAAACAGG